rnacentral:rRNA from 1 species
GUCCACACGGUAAACUAUGGAUACUCGCUGUAGGCGAUACACAGUCUGCGGCCAAGCGAAAGCAUUAAGUAUCCCACCUGGGGAGUACGCCGGCAACGGUGAAACUCAAAGGAAUUGACGGGGGCCCGCACAAGCGGAGGAACAUGUGGUUUAAUUCGAUGAUACGCGAGGAACCUUACCCGGGCUUAAAUUGCAACUGAAUAGCUGAGAGAUCAGUUAGCUAGCAAUAGCAGUUGUGAAGGUGCUGCAUGGUUGUCGU